UGUCACCCAUAGGGUAUCAUCGCAUGAACCCUGGAGACCCUGAAUUCCGUCCCACGCCUCUCUUGCGAUUCCCAUGGCGUCUACCUGCUUCCGUUCCCUAACACGCGCCUCCAGAUCCUUCGUUACCAAACCCAGAGUCACCACGCGGUCUCCCUCCUCCUCCUUCGUGGUCUCCGACGCUGGUGCCACCGCGCUUCCGUCAUCCGCCUCGGCGCGUCCUCCUCCGGCUCGCCGCUUCCCAUCGUUCUCCAGGUCUCUUGCGGAAUUGCGAUGUUGCAGCGGAUCUCUGUUCCCGCUCCACAGUGCCGUGGCGGCAGCGAGGUUGACUUCUUGCUUGAGCUCGACAUCUCGGAGCUGUCGUUCUCUUUCACAGGGUACCGUCUGCUGCACGUACCCCGGGGUUUAAAAGUUCUCCUUUUCCCGUCUUAGCUUGACGUUCUUUUGGUAGCUGAGAGCAGGGAGAUCGAUGCAUCUUGUUGGGAAAUCUCUGAAGCUUAUUUAAAGAAGUUAUUGUUUGAUUCCUGCAAUGAUUGGAUAUGUUUGGCAUAAAUCUGUCUGUUUUUUAGGAUAAGAUUAAUGCUCUCUAUCACACUUCUUCUGAUUCCAAACCGAGUGUUCAAAAUUGCAGUCUUGCUCCUUUUUCCAUUGUUUUCUUAUAAAAGAUUUAAGUAAUUUGUUUGAUCUACUUAAUGGACUGAUUCUUCUCUAUCGA